AGUGAACGCUGGCGGUAGGCCUAACACAUGCAAGUCGAACGGCAGCACAGUAAGAGCUUGCUCUUACGGGUGGCGAGUGGCGGACGGGUGAGGAAUACAUCGGAAUCUACUUUUUCGUGGGGGAUAACGUAGGGAAACUUACGCUAAUACCGCAUACGUCCUACGGGUGAAGUCAGGGGAUCUUCGGACCUUGCGCGAUUCAAUGAGCCGAUGUCGGAUUAGCUAGUUGGCGGGGUAAAGGCCCACCAAGGCGACGAUCCGUAGCUGGUCUGAGAGGAUGAUCAGCCACACUGGAACUGAGACACGGUCCAGACUCCUACGGGAGGCAGCAGUGGGGAAUAUUGGACAAUGGGCGCAAGCCUGAUCCAGCCAUACCGCGUGGGUGAAGAAGGCCUUCGGGUUGUAAAGCCCUUUUGUUGGGAAAGAAAAGCAGCAGGUUAAUACCCCGCUGUUCUGACGGUACCCAAAGAAUAAGCACCGGCUAACUUCGUG
rnacentral:rRNA from 1 species